GGAAGGAUCAUUACUUAAGAGACCCUAACCGGUCCUCUACCCUGCCCAUCGUACCUUUGUGUUGUUCCCUCGGCGAGGCUCGCGGGCCCGCCGGCGGGAAGAUCAACGAAACCCUUUGCAAGCAAGCAUCCUAAGAUCUGAUCAAAUACAAAUUGUCACAACUUUCAACAAUGGAUCUCUUGGUUCUGGCAUCGAUGAAGAACGCAGCGAAAUGCGAUAAGUAGUGUGAAUUGCAGAAUUCAGUGAAUCAUCGAAUCUUUGAACGCACAUUGCGCCCCUCGGUAUUCCGUGGGGCAUGCCUGUUCGAGCGUCAUUUACACCCCUCAAGCUCUGCUUGGUGUUGGGCGUCUGUCCGCCGCCGCGAGGUGGCCGACUCGCCCCAAAGGCAUUGGCAGCGGCAUCCGCCGGGCUUUCCCCAACAGCGCAGCACUGUUCGCGCACCCGGGGACCCGCCGCGGAGGCAGCGUCCACGAAGCCCCAUCUUUGCAAGUUGACCUCGGAUCAGGUAGGGAUACCCGCUGAACUUAAGCAUAUCAAUAAGCGGAGGAAGGAAGUAAAAGUCGUAACAAGGAAACCCCUGGGCAUAUCAAUAAGC
rnacentral:rRNA from 1 species